UACGUAGGGAGCGAGCGUUGUCCGGAAUGAUUGGGCGUAAAGGGCGCGUAGGCGGUCGUUUAAGUCUGGAGUGAAAUUCCCGUUUUUAAGGUGGGAACUGCUUUGGAAACUGGACGGCUUGAGUGCAGGAGAGGUUAUCGGAAUUCCCGGUGUAGCGGUGAAAUGCGUAGAGAUCGGGAGGAACACCAGUGGCGAAGGCGGGUAACUGGACUGCAACUGACGCUGAGGCGCGAAAGUGUGGGGAGCAAACAGGAUUAGAUACCCUGGUAGUCCACACUGUAAACGAUGAAUGCUAGGUGUAGGGGGUAUCGACCCCUUCUGUGCCGGAGUCAACACAAUAAGCAUUCCGCCUGGGGAGUACGGCCGCAAGGUUGAA
rnacentral:rRNA from 1 species